rnacentral:rRNA from 1 species
UACGUAGGGUGCGAGCGUUAAUCGGAAUUACUGGGCGUAAAGCGUGCGCAGGCGGUUUUGUAAGACAGAUGUGAAAUCCCCGGGCUCAACCUGGGAAUUGCGCUUGUGACUGCAAGGCUGGAGUGCGGCAGAGGGGGAUGGAAUUCCGCGUGUAGCAGUGAAAUGCGUAGAUAUCAGGAGGAACACCGAUGGCGAAGGCAGCCCCCUGGGCCUGUACUGACGCUCAUGCACGAAAGCGUGGGGAGCAAACAGG